AUUAGUGGCCAAACCUCCUUGUCAAGGCCUGAUCUUGUCAGAUUUUAGGAGCUAAGUAGAGCCGGACCUGGUUAAUACUUGGAUGGGAGACUGCUGGAAAUACCGGGAGGUGCAGCCA
rnacentral:rRNA from 1 species